UGGGGAAUUUUGGACAAUGGGGGAAACCCUGAUCCAGCCAUCCCGCGUGUGCGAUGAAGGCCUUCGGGUUGUAAAGCACUUUUGGCAGGAAAGAAACGUCGCGGGUUAAUACCCCGCGAAACUGACGGUACCUGCAGAAUAAGCACCGGCUAACUACGUGCCAGCAGCCGCGGUAAUACGUAGGGUGCAAGCGUUAAUCGGAAUUACUGGGCGUAAAGCGUGCGCAGGCGGUUCGGAAAGAAAGAUGUGAAAUCCCAGAGCUUAACUUUGGAACUGCAUUUUUAACUACCGGGCUAGAGUGUGUCAGAGGGAGGUGGAAUUCCGCGUGUAGCAGUGAAAUGCGUAGAUAUGCGGAGGAACACCGAUGGCGAAGGCAGCCUCCUGGGAUAACACUGACGCUCAUGCACGAAAGCGUGGGGAGCAAACAGGAUUAGAUACCCUGGUAGUCCACGCCCUAAAACGAUGUCAACUAGCUGUUGGGGGCCUUCGGGCCUUGGUAGCGCAGCUAACGCGUGAAGUU
rnacentral:rRNA from 1 species